ensembl:lncRNA
CCUGCUCUGCACAUUUUGCAUGUUUCCCUUUUUUAACAGACCUGAUUCAGAUCAUCAGUUCGUUAGGAGAGAGAGAUCCAUAAACUGAACUGAGUGUGUCAGAUAAGAGAGACAGAACGCAGGUCCACAGGACUGGAACUGAGAACCACUGGUCGCUGGAAAAAUUAAUAUCUUAGUGUCCUGGUGGACAGUGUUGUGUGAUGGAGGACUCUGACCUGACGCCGACACUCCUGACCUCAAAGUGUGCAGUCUGAGGGCAGUCUGUGAAACCCCAGUGCAUGUUUGCAUUCCUGAAACGGUCUGUAGCAGACGGUGAAGGCUGGAUGAAGAAUGGGAAUGUUGCUUUAAGGUUUGUGGGUUCGGAGGUUAUCGCACAAGCUGCCUACACAGGCUCUCCAACAGUCCAUAUUGAGGUGAUACCCAUACCGCUUGAGAUUCAGUAGCAUAAGCCAAAAGACACUGUAUGUUAUAAAGAUUUUACCACAAUAAGAGGUGUCUUUAAGGCCCAGUAUACUGAUGGUGAAGCUCUUUUUUGAUCUUUGCUUAGAGGUGAAAAGAAUUGUGAAGUAUCUGAGCAGGAGUAUACUGUUAACGAACAUCAUGGUGCCACCCACACCACUGAGAGUGCCGU